rnacentral:rRNA from 1 species
UACGUAGGGGCAAGCGUUGUCCGGAAUCAUUGGGCGUAAAGCGCGUGUAGGCGGCUCGAUAAGUCUGCUGUGAAAGUCCAGGGCUCAACCCUGGGAUGCCGGUGGAUACUGUCGAGCUCGAGUCCGGAAGAGGCGAGUGGAAUUCCUGGUGUAGCGGUGAAAUGCGCAGAUAUCAGGAGGAACACCAAUGGCGAAGGCAGCUCGCUGGGACGUGGCUGACGCUGAGACGCGAAAGCGUGGGGAGCGAACAGG